CCUGUUGUCACAAUGAGCUCUGUCUCCUGACAAGUCCACCUACUGUAAAUGGAGACUCUCUUUCCCAUUAAAGCCUGCUCCUCUGGAUAUGUAACCCCUGGCUUUCCAGAUGUUGUGGGACUACAACUCCUAUCACCCCUGACUCUUGGCCAUGGUGACUGGGGUUGAAGGAAGUUGAACAGCCAGGGCCGGUCCACCCAUGAGGCAAGGUGAGAUGACUGCUUCAGGCGGCAGGAUCCACAGGGGCAGCAGAUCCUGAUGUAGAUGUUUCUUCCCCCCUAGUUCCUGAUGUAGCUCUUCUCUCACCCCUUCUUCCCUGGUGGGGAGAGGGGCACCACUUUGCUGUUUACCUCAGAUGCCAAAAUGUAUUGGGUCGGCCCUGCUAAUGACCUCUGGAGAGCCACAGGUUCCUGAUCACUGCCCUAAGGUCAAGAGGGAAGAGCUUAUGUUUAGAUAACUUGGAAUUGCUGAGUUACAGCCUGCUGGCCCAAUAAUGGGCACAUUAUUGGUACUUGGUGGGAGUGAAGAGGCUACACUAGUUCCUUAUGAGAGAUAAUAGAGGAUCAUCUAGUCAAACCCCCUUCUCCAUCUGUUACACAGGAUGAAAGAGUCCAUCCUUUGUUCACAAUCAGCAAUACUAGAGUUACAAGGAACAUGCUUUGAUUCUGAACUACAUGGAAAGCUACACACUUGCAGCCUUUGGACUGCACUCAAUGAAGACGCCUUGCAUGUAUGCUAGCAGCAGCCAUGAUGAGAUAAUGAAUGAUUCCUCUCAGCCUGACUGAAUGAGCAGAGGCCAAAGCUUUGAUGCUCCUUGUAGGUGGACAGGCAGGGACAGGUUGUGUGAAUCCUUUAUAACUAGUUCAGGCCCAUCAAGAAACGGAGCUGGCAGUUCCAGCCUGGUUCUUUUUUAAUGUCACAGUUCAUUUGCAGAACCAUAACUGGAAUCAAGAAUUAAAAAGCCCUGUGUAAAAGUCAGUAACAUUAAA